UAAAAAUAAAAUCAUUUGGGCUUUACUCCAAUUGGAGUCACUUGAGAGUAAUGGAAUAAUGAAACAAAUUGGUGUAUGAGUAGUAACCUUAAGUGCCAUAUUUAUAAGAAUGAAUAGUAGUGUGUUCUCCAAAAUUGUUAGAACAGUAGCCGCCCUACUUCACCUACUUCACCCUUUCUCUGCAUAUUUUUCUUUUCUACCUAAUAUAUAGUACCAAUCCCAAACAUUGUAAGGUUAAUGAGAGAAAGCCUUGAAGGGAGAAAAGAAAGAAAGAAGAAAAGAACCAAGAGAAGGAAGUAGAUGGGAAGAGGAUGAGAACUCAAGCAAGCUAGGAUUUCCUUUAAUUAAGGUUUCUCAGGUUAUGAGUUUGUGGUCGAGUCGUCGGUGAAGCUCCGCUCUGAUUAUGACAUGGGGAAUGGUUUAUUGAGUCUUGUACUUGUAUUCUUAUUUUAUUGUAAAUGUAUUAUUUUAGAAAACAAUUUUUAUUAAGCGAGGUUUAUGCUAAUUAGCAAUGUUUUGAAGUAUGUAAUAUCUAAAACCACUAUUUUAUAUUUUAUCUACGACUUCGAGUCGUUUUAAUUUUAUUAUCCGCUGCGUAUUUUGAAAAGAAUUUUCUAUAGUUAGAUUUAUUUAAAUAUUGGUAUUGGGUGUUACAAAGUUGGUAUCAGAGCCCCAUUGUCUUCAGACUGUGUGGGUUAUGUGUGUCACUCAGAGCAGGUCUGUGCAGUCAGACUUAGUGGGCAUAGUGUCAGUCGUGUUUGUGUAAUUGUUGUAUUUACUUUGUGAUUUAAUUUUCGCAGUUACACUUGCACAUUAGUCACUAUUUAAUUGUUUUGUGAAUGUGUGACUAGUUUGGUGAAUUUUGUUGGUAGUUCCUUGUUAGCAUGUUGCUUUAUUUGAUUCUUGAAACUUAUCUUUUUAAGUGAAAUGAACUUUAACAUUUAUAAUCCUUACUUCAUGAUUGAAUAUAAAAUGAUGAUAGCUUAAGUAUUUACUUGUCAAUACUUGAAUGUCUAUGUGAAGUGUUAUAUUUUGUUUUUAUGCAAUUUUAUAUAGAUGUUCAUGUUUUGCAUUUCGUAGUUUACCCCUUUCAUAUGACAUGUGUGUAAAUACUAUUGAUACCAAUUUCUUUUAUUUGAGCUAGUUAGAGGAUUGUAGAAGCCUACAAUUAGGUGUGAGAGUUUGGGUUUCAGUAGAAAGUUGUAGGUGAGUUUGAGACAAGUGGGGGAGAAGGUUAUAUUCCUCUGAGAUGUUUAAGUGUAACAAAGCAAGAUAGAUAGAGAUACCCAAGGGAGAGUAUUCUUGUGUUAGUGAUGUUUGCUUCAAAGUUGAGUGAACUGGAAGAUGUGUUAGAAGAAGAAGUUUGUCGGAUCGGUUAUUUCACUGUGGAGAACGCCAUUGUUGUUGAGUAUGACGAAGUUGACAAAUCAUAUUCUCGAAGAGAAUAGAGAAGGUUGGAAGUUGGAUUUAAAUUUAAUGGACUAAUUGGUGCGAAUCAGUCAAAGUAAAGAAGUGAAUUUUCGAGUAGCUGAGAAUGGAAUUAUGAGAUUAUAAGAUAGAAUGUGUUCUGAAUUUACCCGAGUUCGAGAGCUCCUAGGAAGAAAGUUACUAUCGAAAAUCGGGACGAAUGAGAUCAUUAGGUGCAAAUGUAUGUUUGAGAACUUCACGUGAGAUUUUAGAAGAUAAGAUGGGGUUAAGUAAAAAGUUUCAUUAACAGAGGAGUAGAAUGAAGGAGUUAGUCUUUGGGAAGACAUGUUAAGAAUGAGUUAAGUAAUUGUCUAUCGGAAAAGAUUGAGUAUGGAAGAAUCUGUGGAGAUUAGCAAGAUUAAAUUCAUCAUACUAGGUGUAACGAAGAGCGGCGUAGCAUAAGUGUAGUGCACGAUGAGAAAGUAAAGAAUCUUAGAUAUUGUAAUCGUGGAUAGUUUAACAAUAGUUAUUUGAUGAGUAACCUAAGAUAUAUUUUGGGUGUAAGUAUCUCGAUAGAAGAACUGACAUUGGUAAAUGUGACAAAAAAAAAUGAACGUGAGUUGGAAAUAAGGUAAUUAUAUUGGAAUUUGACGUAAGAAAUUGAGAUUGUGGUUCGGAUAAAAUUGGAUGCGAACACUUACGGAUUAAAAAAAAAAAAGUUUAUGGAACUUGUGAUAUGGUGAAGUUCUUUACGGAGUAUAAUAGAUUGGUAAUACUUGUUGUGGAUUGUUUCCUUAAGAAUGUUUCGUGCUUAGAGAAGCACUAUUGUGGUUUGGUAAAGAUGGUUGAUGCCACCAUCAUGAUUGUUGUCUAUCUAUCGACAAAUCGAGGAACUGGCCGUCCUUGAUCUCUUGUUGAUAGUGGACGAAAUCGUGUUGACUGGAUGAGACAAAUUUUGUCAAACUUUAAUAGUGUCUAGAGUUUUGGAUAUUUUGUUGGAGAGUUGGAUGAAGGGGGUCUUAUCCGGAGUUGUUUUAGUUUGGUAAUUUUUGAGGGCGAAAAAUCUGUAAGUGGGGGAGAGUUGUAACAUCCCAAUUUUUAUUAUUAGAAUAUUUAUUUAUUGUGGCGCGUAACUUUCGUAAUUGAAUAUUUUGGUAUUCAUGAGUUUAUACUUAAGCUAGUAAUUAGAGUAAUUAAUAGAUGAUAAUUUUUUUUAAUGGGCCAAAUUAGUUAAUAGAGGAAUAAAAAUAAAAUCAUUUGGGCUUUACUCCAAUUGGAGUCACUUGAGAGUAAUGGAAUAAUGAAACAAAUUGGUGUAUGAGUAGUAACCUUAAGUGCCAUAUUUAUAAGAAUGAAUAGUAGUGUGUUCUCCAAAAUUGUCAGAACAGUAGCCGCCCUACUUCACCUACUUCACCCUUUCUCUGCAUAUUUUCCUUUUCUACCUAAUAUAUAGUACCAAUCCCAAACAUUGUAAGGUUAAUGAGAGAAAGCCUUGAAGGGAGAAAAGAAAGAAAGAAGAAAAGAACCAAGAGAAGGAAGUAGAUGGGAAGAGGAUGAGAACUCAAGCAAGCUAGGAUUUCCUUUAAUUAAGGUAUGAGGGUAGUUUUAUAAUCUUUGAGAUGAAUUAAUGGAGAGGAGAGAAGUAUUCUUCUCUAGCCCAAACUCUUCUCAUCUCUUUUUCAUUUUUGGGUAUGUUAUGAGAUUUUGGGAAUGUGUAGAUUUUGAAUCUUUAUGUUAUAAUAAGUGAUUAUGCAUAUUUGUUCAUGAUUUAGAAAUGAGAAGCUGUGAUAAAAAUUAGUACUUUGUAAGUUGUUGUUGAUUAUUUGAAGGUUGUUGAUAAAUUCAUGAAAAUGAUGAAUAAUUCAUGAAAAAUGAUUAUGUUUGAGUAAUUUAUGUUGAUUUAAGUUGUUUUAAAUAAGCUAUAAGUGUAGUAAUAUUUAAAUAUGAAUUCUAGACUGUUUUAAGUGAUUAUUAGCAGCUUAUAAGUGCUUAUUUGGACCAAAAUCGAGUCAAAACGUGUUCUGCAGAAUGAAUAGUGCAUUUGCGACGCACUUGGCCGACGCUAAUCUGCAACUCUGUUCUGUUGACCAAUUGUUGACUUUUGUUGACUUAUUUAGCCGGAACCCAUCUUGUCCAGUUUUUCGUGUAGAUUCCGAUUCCGGUGUCCAUUUUCUGAGAUUAUGUUUGCAUGAUGAUGUUGCUUAUAUUUUUGGCAUUAUUUUAGUUUAAAUUAACUUUCGUAUGCUUAAUUAAUUGAAAUUGAUGAACCCUUGAAUGAUGUGUGACUUUAGUGUCUUGUGAAUGAAUAUGUUGUUGAUUAAUGAUGAUGGCUAGGUUGUUGAUAGAUGAUGAUAAUCAUGAUGUUGAUUAUUGAUGAUGUAUUAUGAUUAUAUUGAUGAAUUAUUGAUGAAUAAAUCUUAUUGAAGAUUAGUGUGAUUAUGUGAUGAUUUAUGAUGUUGAAUUAUUGAUGAUGAUAAAUGAUGAUUUAUCAUGAGUAAAUGUAUUCUAAAGACGAUGAUUUAGAAUAUUUGGAUUAUGCUAUCCAUAUUAUGUCGAUGUUAUAGUUGAGAUAAAACCAUAUGUUUGGUAUAUGCACAUUCAUGCAUUCAUAAGUUGUGUCUAUUGAUGGGUAUUCUAGAGACGAUGAUCUAGUUUACUGUUGUUUUAGAGACGAUGAUCUAAAACAUUUGGAAUGAGUUUUCCAAAAUUAUGAUGAUGGGUACCACAUGCAUAUAGAUACGUCUAGAGGACAUUACAUCUAAUUGCAUUAAGAAUUAUGUGAUAUUCUUACUUGAUGAAUGGUAAUUGACAUCGUUAUGUUUACCUUUAUAUCUGAUACUUGUCUGAACAUAUUUGUUAUAUGUCUGAGAUGUCUGAUACAUAUUGGUAUGUGCUUAUCAUGUUGAAUAAUUGUAUGAGAUGAAUUUAUUCAUUUGUUUGACUUUAUUUAGGUUUCUGAUAUACCUUAUGUUAGUCACUAUUUAUGGUUAUAUUAUCUAACCCUCUGUUUUGUGUACUUGCUGAACCGUUGGGGGUUCAGAUUUCUCAGGUUAUGAGUUUGUGGUCGAGUCGUCGGUGAAGCUCCGCUCUGAUUAUGACAUGGGGAAUGGUUUAUUGAGUCUUGUACUUGUAUUCUUAUUUUAUUGUAAAUGUAUUAUUUUAGAAAACAAUUUUUAUUAAGCGAGGUUUAUGCUAAUUAGCAAUGUUUUGAAGUAUGUAAUAUCUAAAACCACUAUUUUAUAUUUUAUCUACGACUUCGAGUCGUUUUAAUUUUAUUA